GCGACGUAACGCAUCCAUAUAUAUAACUUUCAGCAACGGAUCUCUUGGCUCUCGCAUCGAUGAAGAACGCAGCGAAAUGCGAUAAGUAAUGUGAAUUGCAGAAUUCAGUGAAUCAUCGAAUCUUUGAACGCACCUUGCGCUCCUUGGUAUUCCGAG
rnacentral:rRNA from 1 species